GCGUGCCUAACACAUGCAAGUCGAACGAGAAAGCUCCUUCGGGAGUUAGUAGAGUGGCGCACGGGUGAGUAACACGUGGAUAAUCUGCCUGAUAAUCUGGGAUAACAUUUCGAAAGGGAUGCUAAUACCGGAUAAGCCCACAGCCUCUUCGGAGGCAGCGGGAAAAGAUGGCCUCUUCUUGAAAGCUAUUGUUAUCAGAUGAGUCCGCGGUCCAUUAGCUAGUUGGUAGGGUAAUGGCCUACCAAGGCAACGAUGGAUAGCUGGUUUGAGAGAAUGAUCAGCCACACUGGAACUGAGACACGGUCCAGACUCCUACGGGAGGCAGCAGUGGGGAAUUUUGCGCAAUGGGGGAAACCCUGACGCAGCAACGCCGCGUGAGUGAUGAAGGUUUUCGGAUCGUAAAGCUCUGUCAAGAGGGAAGAAACCUCCAAUGGUUAAUAUCUGUUGGAAUUGACGGUACCUCUAGAGGAAGCACCGGCUAACUCCGUGCCAGCAGCCGCGGUAAUACGGAGGGUGCAAGCGUUGUUCGGAAUUAUUGGGCGUAAAGCGCGUGUAGGCGGUUUGUUAAGUCUGAUGUGAAAGCCCCGGGCUCAACCUGGGAAGUGCAUUGGAAACUGGCAAACUUGAGUACGGGAGAGGGAAGUGGAAUUUCGAGUGUAGGGGGUGAAAUCCGUAGAUAUUCGAAGGAACACCAGUGGCGAAGGCGGCUUCCUGGACCGAUACUGACGCUGAGACGCGAAAGCGUGGGGAGCAAACAGGAUUAGAUACCCUGGUAGUCCACGCCGUAAACGAUGGGUACUAGGUGUUGCGGGUAUUGACCCCUGCAGUGCCGA
rnacentral:rRNA from 1 species